AGAAUCAACGCUGGCGGCGUGCCUAACACAUGCAAGUCGAACGAGAAAGUGGAGCAAUCCAUGAGUAAAGUGGCGCACGGGUGAGUAACACGUGACUAACCUACCUUUUAGUGGGGGAUAACCUAGGGAAACCUGGGCUAAUACCGCAUAAUACCUACGGGUCAAAGCAGCAAUGCGCUGGAAGAGGGGGUCGCGGUCGAUUAGUUAGUUGGCAGGGUAAUGGCCUACCAAGACUGUGAUCGAUA
rnacentral:rRNA from 1 species